GGAUGUGAGGCCAAUCUGGCUGCAAUAUUUAGUACACUGUGGAUCACAAGCGUUGGUUGGAUUGGGCUGGCUGGCUGGCUAGGCGGUGUCCCCUACUUCCCUCACCACUCCAUGUGUGUUCCUCCUGAAGCUGCCCCCUUGAACAAAGAGGAAGUUUGUCCUCAUAGACGAGAAUCUUCCUAGUCAAGGGUAUUCUAGUAACUUCCCUCCCCUGCUAGAAUCUCCAAACAAGCUUCAAUCCAUGUGUAGAAUAACACAAGAUAGUCAAGUCUCAGACUCUAGCAUGAAAAUGAGGCCCACAUGUGACCUACUGCCUUUCUUU
rnacentral:snRNA from 1 species